rnacentral:rRNA from 1 species
CCUACGGGAGGCAGCAGUGAGGAAUAUUGGUCAAUGGACGAGAGUCUGAACCAGCCAAGUAGCGUGAAGGAUGACUGCCCUAUGGGUUGUAAACUUCUUUUAUAAAGGAAUAAAACGAGGCACGUGUGCCUUUUUGCAUGUACUUUAUGAAUAAGGAUCGGCUAACUCCGUGCCAGCAGCCGCGGUAAUACGGAGGAUCCGAGCGUUAUCCGGAUUUAUUGGGGUUAAAGGGAGCGUAGAUGGGUUGUUAAGUCAGUUGUGAAAGUUUGCGGCUCAACCGUAAAAUUGCAAUUGAUACUGGCAGUCUAGAGUACAGUUGAGGUAGGCGGAAUUCGUGGUGUAGAGGUGAAAUGCUGAGAUAUCACGAAGAACCCCGAUUGCGAAGGCAGCUUACUAAACUGUGACUGACAUUGAUGCUCGAAAGUGUGGGUAUCAAACAGGAGUAGAUACCACUGUAGUC